AUCUAGCUGACGAGUCCAAAAUGGGUCGAAACGUGCAUCCUGGAU
rnacentral:hammerhead_ribozyme from 1 species